rnacentral:rRNA from 1 species
GAUGAACGCUGGCGGCGUGCCUAACACAUGCAAGUCGAGCGAAGCGGUUUUAAGGAAGUUUUCGGAUGGAAUUAAAACUGACUGAGCGGCGGACGGGUGAGUAACGCGUGGGUAACCUGCCUCAUACAGGGGGAUAACAGUUAGAAAUGGCUGCUAAUACCGCAUAAGCACACAGCUUCGCAUGGAGCAGUGUGAAAAACUCCGGUGGUAUGAGAUGGACCCGCGUCUGAUUAGCUAGUUGGUAAGGUAACGGCUUACCAAGGCGACGAUCAGUAGCCGACCUGAGAGGGUGACCGGCCACAUUGGGACUGAGACACGGCCCAAACUCCUACGGGAGGCAGCAGUGGGGAAUAUUGCACAAUGGGGGAAACCCUGAUGCAGCGACGCCGCGUGAGUGAAGAAGUAUCUCGGUAUGUAAAGCUCUAUCAGCAGGGAAGAAAAUGACGGUAC